CCUACGGGUGGCAGCAGUGAGGAAUAUUGGUCAAUGGGCGGAAUCCUGAACCAGCCAAGUAGCGUGCAGGAUGACGGCCCUACGGGUUGUAAACUGCUUUUAUACGGGAAUAACGCGCCUUACGUGUAGGGCUUUGUAUGUACCGUAUGAAUAAGGACCGGCUAAUUCCGUGCCAGCAGCCGCGGUCAUACGGAGGGUCCGGGCGUUAUCCGGAUUUAUUGGGUUUAAAGGGAGCGGAGGCCGUAUUUCAAGUGUGCUGUGAAAUUUCCGGGCUCAACCCGGGGCUUGCAGCGCGAACUGGCGUGCUUGAGUCCGCGGAAAGCAGGCGGAAUUCGUCGUGUAGCGGUGAAAUGCUUAGAUAUGACGAAGAACCCCGAUUGCGAAGGCAGCUUGCUGCAGCGGAACUGACGCUGAUGCUCGAAAGCGCGGGGAUCGAACAGGAUUAGAUACCCGUGUAGUC
rnacentral:rRNA from 1 species